rnacentral:rRNA from 1 species
ACAGGUGGUGCAUGGUUGUCGUCAGCUCGUGUCGUGAGAUGUGGUUAGUCCGCAACGAGCGCAACCCCUAUUGUUAGUUGCCAUCAUUCAGUUGGGCACUCUAGCGAGACUGCCGGUAAUAAACCGGAGGAAGGUGGGGAUGACGUCAAAUCAUCAUGCCCCUUAUGACCUGGGCUACACACGUGCUACAAUGGUUGGUACAACGAGUUGCGAGUCGGUGACGGCGAGCUAAUCUCUUAAAGCCAAUCUCAGUUCGGAUUGUAGGCUGCAACUCGCCUACAUGAAGUCGGAAUCGCUAGUAAUCGCGGAUCAGCACGCCGCGGUGAAUACGUUCCCGGGCCUU